UCCACACCUAGCCAGACCUGGGACUCCACACGACUGGCAUCUGACAUUUUGGCCUCACCUUCCUGAUGCAGGCACUGUUUCAGUGGCUGGAUUGAGAGGUUUAACAAGGCUUUCAUUCAGUUCAGUCGCUCAGUCGUGUCCGACUCUGCGGCCCCAUGAAUUGCAGCAUGCCAGGCCUCCUUGUCCAUCACCAACUCCCGGAGUUCACUCAAACUCACGUCCAUUGAGUCGGUGAUGCCAUCCAGCCAUCUCAUCCCCUGUUGUCCCCUUUUCCUCCUGUCCCCAAUCCCUCCCAGCAUCAGAAUCUUUUCCAAUGAGUCAACUCUUCGCACGAGGUGGCCAAAGUACGGAGUUUCAGCUUUAGCAUCAUUCCUUCCAAAGAAUACCCAGGACUGGUUGGAUCUCCUUGCAGUCCAAGGGACUCUCAAGAAGGCUUUAGCCACCUUAAUACCAUCGGCUGGCUGCCUCUUUUACUUGGAACGACAACAUUUUGACAUUUUUUAAUAGCUAUCUAGAAUUUUCUGUGCACCAGGGAUGGAGAGAAGUGCUUUCCCACCAUGAGCAGGAGCCACUGCUGUUUUUCUCCACUGGAAAAAUAAAAAAGUUGAGACUUAGGGGUUUAAAUAGCCUGGCCCAGAGGUUAGCUGAUGUGCAGCAGGGUUGGGACUCUGAUCCAAGAACUUGUGUCCUUGUCUGAGGUCAGAUCUGUGUUCUUACCUGCUCUGCCCUGAGCUGCUUCAGUCCCAGCUCUCAUACUCGCCCGGAAGAGGAGUCUUGGGUUCUGGUUGCUGUCCCUCCAUCAGUUAGCUGUGUGACCUCGGGAACCUGCCGAAUCAGGAGGAUGAUCCUCAAGAUCCUUCUUACUCAUAUAGGCCCUGGAACUAUGGUUGUCCCUUCUUUCUUGUCUAUCAUCUGCAUCAGUGUGAACCAGGCACCCGAUGUUUAUUUAUUCACCCAACCUGUAGUCAUGAAGCAUCAUGCAGAGUGAGGACACAGCAGAAAACAAGAAAGGAAAGAAUUAUUGUCCUCUGGGUCAGGCUUGUCAUAGAGAGUCAGGCAAAAAGCAGAUAAAUAAUUAGAAUAUAUAAUAUGUCAGGGAGCAGUGAGGCCAAUAGAGAAAAAUGAAACAGGGAAAUGGGGAGGGGAGGUAGUGUGGGAAGUCUAUGAUUUUAAACAGAGUGGCUGGAAAGCCCUCUCUGGGAAGGUGGCCCUUGAGUGAAGUCCUGAAAGAGGUGAAAGAAAGAGCACUGCAGGCCAAAGGAAUAGCAGGUGCAGAGGCCCUGGGGCUGACAUGUGCCUGGAGCCAUCCAAGACGAGCAAGGAGGUCUCAUACAAGGCGCAGGUGAAAGCUAAUGAGAUUAGCAAGCACCAGGAAAUCAGGGCCUAGCAUGUGGGGCGGGGUGAGGACUUGAGGAUUGGAAAUUUGAGCAAAGGAAGUGAUAUAACCUGACUCAUCCUCUAGCAACACAGGAGGCUCUGCCGGCUGUGUUGAGAACUCAGUAUGAGGGGCAUGGAGAAAGCAGCUAGGAGGUCACUACAGCCAUCCUGGUAGGUGCCGAUCAGAUCACAGCAGUACAAAUGGCAAGAGUGAUCAGAUUCUGGAUACAUCUUAACAUAGAAGAACCAAGACUUUCAUUUAAAUCUAAGUAGUAAGUAACCAGGUUGAUUUUAGAUGGAUCUAUUGGGACUAUUUAGAUACUUCCCAGAAUUGCUAAUGUGAGUUUACCCUAAACUUCCUAGGAUCUUUCUGGAGAAUUAUGGGCUGACUAUUCAUAUAUAAGAUUCCAUCUGCCCCAAGAUUUUCCAUCAUCUUCUCAACCACCACCUUCUGUGGGUUGACUAGAUGCACAGGCAGUUCUCGGAAGGUUCCUGUGGUUCUGGCAAAGGCAAACACACCCUUUAUACCCAUCCUCCCUGCUGUGGGAACGUAUUGGAGUUUCAGUGAUGCGUGGAGGCUUGAGUGAGGUGCUGCUUCUGUAGGCAGGGCCCAGAGAGAUGCACCUGUCAAACCUGCUCGUCUGCUGCUGCUGCUGCUCAGGUGAGACUGUAGCUGGUCAGCUAUCGCUUCUCGGGGACGACGAAGGCAAGUGUACAGAGUCUACCUCUAGGAGAGCAGGUCAGCAUACCCAGGG
ensembl:lncRNA